rnacentral:rRNA from 1 species
UACGUAGGGGCCUAGCGUUGUCCGGAAUCAUUGGGCGUAAAGAGCUCGUAGGCGGUUCGGCAAGUCACGUGUGAAAUCUCCACGCUUAACUUGGAGGCGCCACGUGAAACUGCCGUGACUCGAGUCCGGUAGGGGAGUGUGGAAUUCCCGGUGUAGCGGUGAAAUGCGCAGAUAUCGGGAGGAACACCAGUAGCGAAGGCGGCACUCUGGGCCGGUACUGACGCUGAGGAGCGAAAGCGUGGGGAGCGAACAGG